rnacentral:snoRNA from 1 species
AGCACGCUCCUUAAAUCCACCUACAGAGCUAUCUUUGAUAGAUCAGCAACUUUACCGGUUGUACAUUGUUGGUGCUUGAGUCAUAAGUGUGCAAUAUUAUCAUACUUGCAGUUCGGAACACUUGCUUGAGUCAUUUUGACCUCAUGCUUGUUCAGCUCUGCGAACAUU